AUUGAACGCUGGCGGAAUGCUUUACACAUGCAAGUCGAGCGGCAGCGCGGGGGCAACCCUGGCGGCGAGCGGCGAACGGGUGAGUAAUACAUCGGAACGUGUCCUUAAGUGGGGGAUAGCUCGGCGAAAGCCGGAUUAAUACCGCAUAAGCUCUGAGGAGGAAAGCGGGGGCUCCGUAAGGACCUCGCGCUGUUGGAGCGGCCGAUGUCGGAUUAGCUAGUUGGUGGGGUAAAGCCCACCAAGGCGACGAUCCGUAGCUGGUCUGAGAGGAUGAUCAGCCACACUGGAACUGAGACACGGUCCAGACUCCUACGGGAGGCAGCAGUGGGGAAUUUUGGACAAUGGGGGCAACCCUGAUCCAGCCAUUCCGCGUGAGUGAAGAAGGCCU
rnacentral:rRNA from 1 species